GUGUGUGUGUGUGUGUAUGUGUAUGUGUGUAUAUAUAUAUACACACACACGUGUAUAUAUAUAUAUAUAUAUAUACACACACACACAC
rnacentral:miRNA from 1 species